rnacentral:lncRNA from 10 species
UAUAAGUUUACUCUUUUAUAAUAUCCUAAACAAAGCAUAUCCUUUUCCCCUUCCUUAAGUAAAUUCUUAAGGAAAUUAACUUCAUUUCUAAAUCAAAGUAUUUUCUGCACUUUUAUUGCACCAAUCUGUUACCUUCUGUUCAUACCAUGACUUAAAUAAUGCUUACUCAGGCACAGUACUAUCAGCUGACAACGUACAGAAGGCUCCAGAAAUGUCACUCCCAUCCCUUAAAGGUUGGUAUAUGGUCCUGGUACAGUCGUGGAGGUCCAUAUGGGUGAAAAGCCCAGAAGUCUACCUGAGCUGAAAGCACUCCCAAGGAGUUUGGUUUUGUUUGGGUUUGUUCUAGGUAUGGUCCCAGGGAUCCCAGAUCAAACCAGGCCCCUGGGCCUAUCCUAGAACCAACCUAAGCUCGCGCAUCAUUCCUGGAACAUCAAGAGUGUGAAGACUGAAGAUAACCUGAGGCCUACCAGACAUCCUAUAUUCACCAAGAUUCACAUUUUUUGGUAUGUGUGCCUACAUUUUAGCAAAAAUUGGUUGGUUAAUCCUUCUAAAAUUAGAGGGAUGACAUUGGGUAACAAAGUCUUCCCAGCCUUUGGCAUUAUAGUAAUUUCUCGCAAUAGAAAUUCCAUACAGAUAUUAUUGCCAGUGAAGAGAGCUAUUCUUGUUUAUUAUCAGUUCUAUAUUUUUAGCUGAAGCAACUUAGCCCUAAAAAACCCCAAAAUCAACUUCUUCCUCCAAAUUAAACUCUCCCCCAAAUUUAAUGGUUUCUGUUUUCUUAAAUGUUUUUCUACUUGACACUGUUAUGUCAGUCUCAUGUAACUGAAUAAUUGUUCAUAAUUUCUGAAGAGCAUUUAGUCUUUGCCAUCUGGCUUCAGUGCCAAAUGAUUUUCAAUUCUUGUUUUUGGAGACUAAUGACUUUUUCCUUAAUUUAUUAUCAAAUUUGCCACAUUUUAGAGCUCACUUUUAGAAGUUCUGCUAUGGUUAAUGAAAACAAGCUAGAAUGACACAGUAGAAAUUGGUUAAUACGUCACAUUUUACAUCACUAUUUUGUAGAAGAUUUUUAGUAAGUUUCUCUAUUUUUAUUCCUUGCCACUCUGGAUUUUACAAAUAUUCUGACCUAGUUGAUCCAUCACAUGGUCUCAUAUCACAACUGUUGCAUCGCUAUAUUCACAUAGAUGUUUUUCUGUUUAAUUUAGAAGACAGUAUUUCUGAAAAAGUAUGAAACGACCCCAAAUCCAAAAGUUAUGGUGCACAAUGAAAAUGUAUGCUUUUAAUAAUGCUGGCUUCUGCAGUAGGUGUAGACCAUGUUUCAAAUAACCACAGACUAAUCAGAAACUCCACCUGUGAAAGGAACUUGAAAUUGUGCUAUUCCUCCAAGCUUAUAACACCAGCAAAUUGGGUCAAUAGGUUAUUCCUUUAAAAUAGGACUAUGAGCCUACAGAGGCUCACUCUGAAGAACUCAGCCGUGGAGUUAGUUCUGUACUAUAUCCAUCACAACAGACAUGCUUCAUCCCAUAGACUUCUUGACAUAGCUUGAAAUGAGUGAACCCAUCCUUGAUUUAUAUACAUAUAUGUUCUCAGUAUUUUGGGAGCCUUUCCACUUUUUUAAACCUUGUUCAUUAUGAACACUGAAAAUAGGAAUUUGUGAAGAGUUAAAAAGUUAUAGCUUGUUUACGUAGUAAGUUUUUGAAGUCUACAUUCAAUCCAGACACUUAGUUGAGUGUUAAACUGUGAUUUUUAAAAAAUAUCAUUUGAGAAUAUUCUUUCAGAGGUAUUUUCAUUUUUACUUUUUGAUUAAUUGUGUUUUAUAUAUUAGGGUAGUACAUUUCCUACCCUACCUGAAGACUUGAGAUUAUAGUCUUUGGGGGGAUGGGCAAAGUACUCUCUUUUUUUGCAUCUUUUAAAUUGUGAUUUUUAAAAACACAUAUAAAUUUUACUAUCUUAACCAUUUUUAUGUGUAUAGUUCAAUGAGAUUAAGUCCAGUCACAUUGGUGUGAAACAGAUCUUCAGAAUUUUUUCAUCUUGCAAAUCUGGGACUCUAUACCCAUUAAACAACUCCCAUUUUCCCCUUCCCCACAGCCUUGGCAACCAUCAUUCUACUUUUCUCUAUGAAUUUCACUACUUUAGAUACCUCAUAUAAAUGGAAUCAUACAGGAUUUGUCCUUUUGUAGCUGACAUAUUUCACUUAACAUAAUGUCCUCAAGGUUCAUCCAUAUUGUAGAAUGUGAUAGGAUUUCCUGCCAUUUUAAGGCUGAAUAAUAUUCCACUGCAUGUAUUUACCACAUUUUUUUAUCCAUUCAUCUGUUGGUGGACGUUUGGGUUGCCUCCAUCUCUUGGCUAUUGUGAAUAAUGCUGCUGUAAACAUGAGUGUGCAAAUAUCUAUAAUUUUUUAACACAGUACUUUAUUUUCGGUAUUUAAUCAUAUGGAAUUUUUGUCAAUUAUGUUAAAGGAUUUUACAACAACCCAACUAUAGAUUUAUAUAUAUAUGUAUUAUUGUUGUUCCUUCUAAGCUUAAGAAGUCUCUAAUAAAAUCCAUACUUCCUUAUAUCUUUUUGUGUGU